GGAUCUACAUGUGAAGCGGAGUACAUAGCUGCUUCGGAAGCAGCAAAUGAAGGAGUCUGGAUGAAGGAGUUCAUAUCCGAUCUAGAUGUCAUACCUAGUGCAUUGGGUCCAAUGAAAAUCUUUUGUGACAAUACUGGUGCAAUUGCCUUGGCAAAGGAAUCCAGAUUUCACAAGAGAACCAAGCACAUCAAGAGAUGCUUCAAUUCCAUCCGGGAUCUUGUCCAGGUGGGAGACAUAGAGAUUUGCAAGAUACAUACGGAUCUGAAUGUUGCAGACCCGUUGACUAAGCCUCUUCCACGAGCAAAACAUGAUCAGCACCAAGGCUCCAUGGGUGUUAGAACCAUU
rnacentral:rRNA from 1 species